rnacentral:misc_RNA from 1 species
AGUUAAUAGUUGUCGCUGUUUGAGUGGACGAGUGUGAUUUUUACUGUAUAGGUAAGUACCGCAUGUUCCAAUAUGGUCAUUUGAAUAUUUCAGAUUUUUAAUUAUGCCUAUGUGAGGGUCUCGAACUCUUGGCGAUAUUAGUCUGUUGAAAUAUUCAUAAUCUUUAAAUAACAGCGAUCUGUUUUAAAUAUACAGAUAUAAAAUAUAUUUCUAUAUAUAAAUAAAUCAUACACAUGCAAAUUUAUAUUUAGUAAAGCUGCGUAUGCGCGCAAGUAAGUAUAAACACGCGCACGUCUUCCUAUUACUACUCUAUAGGCUUGCAUUGUUGGCGUGCAGCGUCGACCAAUCGCUUAUCAAAGGUCGUUAGGUGUCAAGAGUGCAAACUGCUAAUUAAUCUACAAAAAAAAACACUUCUUAUCACCUGCAUUUCCACCGGAAAGUAAGAUAAAAGCCUCGUUUCCGUGAGAAAAAUAUAGGUCUAGAACAAAUAAUUGUAUAGAGCCAUUGUAAACGGAGGACAAUCGUUUUCCUCUUCGUAUAGGCCCGUAAAGGGAUUUAAUAAGAGCUGGAAAAAAGGAGCGGUUGACAUUAAAAACGAAACGAAGGCAGGACCAUGCGAUGACUGUCAAUGUUAGUUCAGACGUCUGAAGUAGAAACUAAAACAACAACGCCAAUCUCGAACAUCACCGUGUCCGGUUUCGCACCGAUUAGAUGCGUUAAAAAAGACGAGAAUGGCGAUUAUCCUUCAGAUUAUGCCUUUGUAGUAGAAGUAAAGUGGAUGGAUGGGAGAGCAAAUGUCGUAAAGAGGACUUAUCAAGAUUUCCAUGCUAUGCACUACGCCCUCAUUGCCGAAUUUGCUGAAACGGCCGCUGCUAACGAAAAUCCCCGAAAGAUUACGAGUUGUUUGCCAGUUCACAAGCCCAGAGAAGCGAAUACGAUUCAGUUAGCUGAGAAGAGAGAAUUGCAAUUGAAUAAAUACUGCAAAGAACUAAUUAAAUUACCGCCAAAGAUUUCCGAAUGCGCUACCGUUCUAACUUUCUUUGAAACGAGAAAAGAUGACCCUACGCCCUACAAAGACGAAAAUGUCACCGAACCAAGAAAUUUUAUUAAGGACUACGUAAUUUGCUAUUUGGGAGAUAGUGACGCCGAUAGUAGGGACUCCUCCUCUUCUUCUUCCUCUUCCGACGACAUUGCCUGA